rnacentral:rRNA from 1 species
UACGUAGGGUGCAAGCGUUAAUCGGAAUUACUGGGCGUAAAGCGUGCGCAGGCGGUGAUGUAAGACAGAUGUGAAAUCCCCGGGCUCAACCUGGGAACUGCAUUUGUGACUGCAUCGCUGGAGUGCGGCAGAGGGGGAUGGAAUUCCGCGUGUAGCAGUGAAAUGCGUAGAUAUGCGGAGGAACACCGAUGGCGAAGACAAUCCCCUGGGCCUGCACUGACGCUCAUGCACGAAAGCGUGGGGAGCAAACAGG